rnacentral:rRNA from 1 species
CACAGGUGCUGCAUGGCUGUCGUCAGCUCGUGUCGUGAGAUGUUGGUUAAGUCCGCAACGAGCGCAACCCUUGUCAUUAGUUGCUACAUUCAGUUGGGCACUCUAAUGAGACUGCCGGUGACAAGCCGGAGGAAGGUGGGGAUGACGUCAAGUCCUCAUGGCCCUUAUAGGUGGGGCUACACACGUCAUACAAUGGCUGGUACAAAGGGUUGCCAACCCGCGAGGGGGAGCCAAUCCCAUAAAGCCAGUCGUAGUCCGGAUCGUAGUCUGCAACUCGACUACGUGAAGUCGGAAUCGCUAGUAAUCGUGGAUCAGAAUGUCACGGUGAAUACGUUCCCGGGUCUU